rnacentral:rRNA from 1 species
CCUACGGGGUGCAGCAGUGGGGAAUAUUGGACAAUGGGGGAAACCCUGAUCCAGCGACGCCGCGUGAGUGAAGAAGUAUUUCGGUACGUAAAGCUCUAUCAGCAGGAAAGAAAAUGACGGUACCUGACUAAGAAGCCCCGGCUAACUACGUGCCAGCAGCCGCGGUAAUACGUAGGGGGCAAGCGUUAUCCGGAUUUACUGGGUGUAAAGGGAGCGCAGACGGCAGUGCAAGUCUGGAGUGAAAGCCCGGGGUCCAACCCCGGAACUGCUCUGGAAACUGUGCGGCUAGAGUACUGGAGGGGCAGGCGGAAUUCCUAGUGUAGCGGUGAAAUGCGUAGAUAUUAGGAGGAACACCAGUGGCGAAGGCGGCCUGCUGGACAGUAACUGAUGUUGAGGCUCGAAAGCGUGGGGAGCAAACAGGAUUAGAUACCCCUGGUAGUC